rnacentral:rRNA from 1 species
GAUGAACGCUGGCGGCGUGCCUAAUACAUGCAAGUCGAGCGAACAGACGAGGAGCUUGCUCCUCUGACGUUAGCGGCGGACGGGUGAGUAACACGUGGAUAACCUACCUAUGAGACUGGGAUAACUUCGGGAAACCGGAGCUAAUACCGGAUAAUAUAUUGAACCGCAUGGUUCAAUAGUGAAAGACGGUUUUGCUGUCACUUAUAGAUGGAUCCGCGCCGCAUUAGCUAGUUGGUAAGGUAACGGCUUACCAAGGCAACGAUGCGUAGCCGACCUGAGAGGGUGAUCGGCCACACUGGAACUGAGACACGGUCCAGACUCCUACGGGGGGCAGCAGUAGGGAAUCUUCCGCAAUGGGCGAAAGCUUGACGGAGCAACGCCGCGUGAGUGAUGAAGGUCUUCGGAUCGUAAAACUCUGUUAUUAGGGAAGAACAAAUGUGUAAGUAACUAUGCACGUCUUGACGGUACCUAAUCAGAAAGCCACGGCUAACUACGUG